rnacentral:lncRNA from 1 species
CAGCCUAAGUGAACAGUGUUUGUGAAGUCUACAGUAGCAUACAGUAAUGUCCUAGGCCUUCACAUUCACUCACCACUCACUGAUUCACCCAGAGCAACUUCCAGUCCUGCAAGCCCCAUUUGUUAGUGGUACUCAGCAGAACAACAACUAUAUCGUAUAAGCUGCAUCAGAGACAAAUGAAGAUGAAAAAACUAUCCUCCUAUAUAACUAAUCUGUGCUGUGCCCCAACAAAGCCUGCUUUAAAUUUCCGUGCCAAUUACAACCCCCAUUCUGUAUCAGGCAAGAAAGUGAUGAAAUGGAUUAAGAAGAUCUCAUUCAGAGUAUUUGCAGCUGGGCAGAGUUUACUUGGAGGAUAUUCAAAUCCAAGGUACUCCUUCAGUUUCUGAGCUGCAUGGACUAUAGCUUCACUGACCACCUCACAGACGACGGGCACCUCUUUGCUGUCCUUCAGAGCCAACUGUUGCGAUGCUUUCUGCCCCAUUUUCUCUGCAUCCAAAUAUCAAACAUGUGAAUCUGGUUCAGACGUACUUCUUUUUCAAAGUAAAAGUUCUGCAGGGAGGCCACAUCUGUUAAUGGUUCAUGUUUUUCUAACUCUACAGCUUCCUCGGGUGUAGUUAAGCAUAUAUACAUACAGCUAAAUAAACAUGUUAGUUCUCUCUGUUUGUCAGUUGGGUGUGUUGUGUUCAUACAGUUCCUGCUGGUUUAUUAAGUUAAAGAUACUAAAUUUCACACAAAACAUCUGUUCUAUCUAGGUUAUAUUCACUCUACUUUUAAUCUUUGGUAAUCUCUUCCAACAUGUUUCCUCUUUCCAAGUUUUAGUUGAAGUAAAAAUAGCACGUUAGUUCUUUUUGUUUUUG